UCCACCCUCUUGACCUAGGGCAGCAUUACCUCCUCCAGGCACUUGAUGUAGACCUCUGUGUUCUGUGUGGGAACAUGAAUGGCGGCAUAAUGUCGCCAUCACUAGUGAUCACUCCAAACACCAGGAUGUUAACUGGAUGUUUGAUUUUUAUCACUCUCUGUACAUCUUUUGAGGAUAUAGCAAGCUAACAGCCAUAAGAGAGAGGAAGGAGAAGAGUAAUGGCAGAAAUUAACAAGAAGGAUAUGGGGAAGACAAAGUGGUGAUGGGAUAGGGAGGUUUGGUGGUCAGUCUGUCUUCCAUACCAGAAUUGAUUGGAUUGUUUGUUAGGAUCCAAGAUAGUUCUUAUCGGGAGUUACACAGGUUUAUUUUUGUGAGAGGGCAUUAGGGGGACUAACAGUAUUAGAAAUGGGGGUAACAGGAGGUAAAGGAAAACGUAGUAUGUUGUGAGGGUUAUUAAGAAAAGUUAAGGAAGAGAGUAGGAAGCUUGUGUAAGAGAUGACACAAUGCUACCUGAGUAAAAUGGUGGACGAAGGAAAGACAAAAUGGAAGGGAGUAAUAAGGGAAGGGGAAGACGGUGUCUGAGGGUUAGUGAGAGAAUGAGUUAAGGAUAAGGCUUUUGUUAUGGUUUUGAGAACUAUAAUAAAUAGAAGGAUGCUGAGAAGUGAUCCCUCAUGUACCCCAAACUGUGCACUAAAUUCAUCACUGAGCUAUGCCCACUUAUAGGCAUUCUCCAGAUCAAAAAUGCUAAGUGUAGAGGCUUAUUCCUGACCACGUAUUUCCCUGGCAGUUGUCUCACAACAAAUACAACAUUAGUAAUGUCUUUUCAAGAGACAGAACCAAGCUGC